GGAGGAAAACGCCAGGUGGCUAACCAGACUUCCAGGGGUGGGGGCGGGGAAUGCGACGCCGCUCCAGGGAGGGCUGGGGGAGGGGAAGGAGAGUGUGUGCCCGCCCCACGGUCCCGACCCUUGUUCCCACCUUACACACUGGAUGGAGCUCCCUCACAGCCAGAGGAAAGAGGAGGGCAGGAGGAGUGGAAGAGAUGAGGGCCAGGAUGAAAGGAGAGUUAGACUGAAGGACCUCCCCCAACGUCUGGAAUCUGGACCCAGGGGCCGUGGUUCGAAUCCGGACUCUGCCACCACUUACUACCUGUGUAACCUUGGACAGGACCUCAGUCUCCCCAUCGUGUGGCAAACUUUCUGUAGUCCUGGCUACUGAUUGGGAUAAGAAACAAGAGACUACCUCCCAGAAGGUGAACUGUUUGGAGAAGGCAAUAUGAACAUGCCUGCUGUGACCACACGCUGCAUCAGAAGACCCAGAAUGAACUUUUGGGAUAUGGUGAAUUUGAACUAUGGGGGCUUGAAAGCAUUUGUUUUGAAUGCAUACUUUUAUACCAAAGGGGAUUUCCCCCAUUUGGCUUUUUGUCAAUGCAUCCAGCAAUCAUUGUUUUUGUUUUCUUUUCCUUUUAUAUACAAAUUAUUACAACUUAUAAGUUAGUUAGGUUUCCAUGAUCCUUUUGGGGAGACUGGUCUCCCAAUAGGAUCAUAGGGGGAAUGUAUUAAUUAGAAUCUUGAACCCCUGGACUUCAUUCCCCCAGAAGUCCUUCAGUAUUUUCUAGAAUUCCUCUCCUCUUUCCACCACAUUUGCAUAUAGUUCUGUGUAAGCCACACCCUCACGUCUCUUCUCUAGCUAGCAGGCAGGGUUGAGGUAGUUUUUACUCUAGUUGUUAUUAAUAAACCUUAUAAAAUAUAAAACCUUCGUUAUUGUAUGUUAAUUUAAAAACCCACACUUUUCAGUAUUCUGUA